CGAAAGCCUGACGGAGCAAUACCGCGUGAGGGAGGAAGGCUCUUGGGUCGUAAACCUCUUUUGUCAGGGAAGAACACAAUGACGGUACCUGACGAAUCAGCAUCGGCUAACUCCGUGCCAGCAGCCGCGGUAAUACGGAGGAGGCAAGCGUUAUCCGGAAUGAUUGGGCGUAAAGCGUUCGUAGGUGGCAAUUCAAGUCUGCUGUCAAAGACAGUAGCUCAACUACUGCAAGGCAGUGGAAACUGACAGGCUAGAGUGCAGGAGGGGUAGAGGGAAUUCCCGGUGUAGCGGUGAAAUGCGUAGAUAUCGGGAAGAACAUCGGUGGCGAAGGCGCUCUACUGGACUGCAACUGACACUCAGGGACGAAAGCUAGGGGAGCG
rnacentral:rRNA from 1 species